GAUGAAGAACGCAGCGAAAUGCGAUAAGUAAUGCGAAUUGCAGAAUUCCAGUGAGUCAUCGAAUCUUUGAACGCACAUUGCGCCCUUUGGUAUUCCGAAGGGCAUGCCUGUUCGAGCGUCAUUAUCACCCCUCAAGCCCUCGGCUUGGUGUUGGACGGUUUGGUGGAGGCCCCCUCGGGGGCUCCUGCCCCUCCCAAAGACAAUGACGGCGGCCUCGUUGGACCCCCGGUACACUGAGUUCUUCACGGGACACGUAUCGGACACAUGGGUUUACGGGACACGGUCUGACUCCCCUCAGGGAGAAUCUUUCUAAGGUUGACCUCGGAUCAGGUAGGGAUACCCGCUGAACUUAAGCAUAUCAAUAAGCGGAGGA
rnacentral:misc_RNA from 1 species